rnacentral:rRNA from 1 species
UACAGAGGUCUCAAGCGUUGUUCGGACUCAUUGGGCGUAAAGAGCACGCAGGCGGUUUGGCAAGUCGGAUGUGAAAACCCGAAGCUCAACUUCGGGCCUGCAUCCGAAACUGCCCGACUAGAGGUAGGUAGGGGAGAUCGGAAUUCCUGGUGUAGCGGUGAAAUGCGCAGAUAUCAGGAGGAACACCGGUGGCGAAGGCGGAUCUCUGGGCCUUACCUGACGCUCAGGUGCGAAAGCUAGGGGAGCGAACAGG